UAACUGUACCUUUAGCUCUCAGU
rnacentral:miRNA from 1 species